rnacentral:rRNA from 1 species
GUAGGUAGCUUAACCUCCGGGAGGGCGCUUACCACUUUGUGAUUCAUGACUGGGGUGAAGUCGUAACAAGGUAACCGUAGGGGAACCUGCGGUUGGAUCACCUCCUUACCU